CGCAAGUGCUGUCACUGCCACCAGCAGCAGGUUGAUCUCCACUGUCACACUGAUGGGCAGUUUCACACAUUGCAUCCUGCCUGAACAGAACAAAACAUUCAUUCAAACAAGAAAAAGUGUCAUCAGGAUGUUCCUCGGUUGCCACUUCAAUUGGACUUUCAACUCCUGCCUCAAUGUCUUCCACCCUUUGUCGCUACCUCUGCCACGCCUUGUGACAGGUAUGUCAUCUACUUCUGUAACAGUGAAGAACAUCAGUUGGAUUUGGCCGGAGAGACUUUAUUGAACAAAUUAUUGUUCAACCAAAAGAUUAUACUUGCCUUUGGUGAUGUCUGUAAUGGUCUCCUCCUAAAGUUAAUAUCAAUAUUGGAUAUAAGAUUUACUUCAUAAUAUACUUCAUAAUUUACAGAUUCAAUAUGAAUUUAACAAUUCAGUCUAAUUUAUUAAUCAAAUCAAAUUGUUAAAAAUUGUUUGCCGACACAUUUUGUGAGAAUUUCAUUUGCAUAUGCCAGUGUGAUGUAUCCCAAUCUUUUAGCAGAAGGAACUAGAUUAAAUAUCCUGAAUGAUAUCAAUUCCACAAUCUGACUUGUGAUGCAGCCUUGGAAUCAUAAUCACACCAUGUGCAUUCAUUUGGCCAAAGGUAUACUGGUCCCCCGACUAAGCCUGAUUUCUCCCAAAGUUUUUUUUAUCUUCUCCAUUCUGUCACCUGAUGGAAUUUGGGUUCUUUGCCAAUGUCGCCUUUGGUUUGCAUAGUUGGGGACACGUAGGGCCUGAUUUACUAAAUGGGGCAAAUUAGCGUGAGAGCACAAUUUCACAAAUGCGCCGAUGGGAGUGGCAAGAUUUGCACGUGAUCUACUGCUGACACACAAAUUAACGAACACAGGUGCGUGUCGACACAGGCGCAACUGUAAUCUGUCAAUCUUGUAAUCUGCUUGGCAACUGAUAUGUUCGGAUAACGUCUUCCUCUGGCAUUCCUUAUAAAUUAAUAUGAGUGGAAAAUAUUUUCUCCCUUCUACCACGUGCUCUCUUUUUUCUGUGGUGUCUCCUCCUAGCAGCAACAUUUGCAGCCAUAUCACAAAAUAGGUUAAGACAUGCUUUUUUGGGGCGUUAAAUAAUGGUGCAAAUAUCAAUAAAUUGACAAGUGUAAACAUUAGUAAAUCGUGUUGUGUGAUUCAUUUAAAUACUCUCCUUCCAUGAAUUUUGCAUCUGACAGGGAAACACCUACAAAUGCAUAUGCAAUAAGGCCAGCCGCAAAACAACUCAGUUUUGCACUGCGUGUCUUUAGUAAAUCCAGACUGUAGUUUUUCAACGGCAAAAGAGGGUUUGUGCUGACGCAAGCUGUUAGUCAAUCUGGCCCUUAAUAUUCAGCAAUAUUACUGACCUGAUUGCACUGACACUAUCAGAUGAGAAAUUAACUGAGCUAUAUGAUGACAUCAUUGUUUUCUUCAGAGCUGCUUUUUAGCUUUAGAAAUAUUUAAAUAAUCCUAUA